UGGGGAGUACGUUCGCAAGAAUGAAACUCAAUGGAAUUGACGGGGGCCCGCACAAGCGGUGGAGCAUGUGAUUUAAUUCGAUGCAAAGCGAAGAACCUUACCAGGGCUUGACAUGCCGCGAAUCCUCUUGAAAGAGAGGGGUGCCUUCGGGAACGCGGACACAGGUGGUGCACAUCACUGCAGCUGAGGCAUCCUAACAGACCGAUAGACUUGAAUCUUGUUCCUACAUGACCAUAUCAAUUCGAUCAGGCACUCACCAUCUAUUUUCAUUGUUCAACUCUUUGACAACACGAAAAAUCCAUUGUUCAACUCUUUGACAACAUGAAAAAA
rnacentral:ncRNA from 1 species